GACGAACGCUGGCGGCGUGCUUAACACAUGCAAGUCGAACGAAGUGGCGCACGGGUGAGUAACGCGUAAACAACCUGCCCUUCAGAGGGGGACAAAAGGUGGAAACGACUGCUAAUACCGCAUACUGAAGGAGGGGAUUGAGUCUGAUUAGCUAGUUGGAGGGGUAACGGCCCACCAAGGCGAUGAUCAGUAGCCGGUCUGGGAGGAUGAACGGCCACAUUGGGACUGAGACACGGCCCAGACUCCUACGGGAGGCAGCAGUGGGGAAUCUUCCGCAAUGGACGAAAGUCUGACGGAGCAACGCCGCGUGAGUGAUGACGGCCUUCGGGUUGUAAAGCUCUGUUAAUCGGGACGCGGUACCGGAAUAGAAAGCCACGGCUAACUACGUGCCAGCAGCCGCGGUAAUAC
rnacentral:rRNA from 1 species